GGGUGAUGAGAAAAAAAAAAAAAGGUUGUCUCAUCCAUGUUCCCCCCCAUUGCCGUGACUUGAGAAGCAAAAGAAAAGAAGAAAUCGGUUCUUCUUAGCUGAAAUGAAAAGAAGAAGAAAGGAAUGAAGCUAGAAAGGAGAGGGCAGCUGCAUGUAGUGGAAAACCAUGGAAUUUGUUUGCUUAGAAGUUAAAAUUUUCAAGUAGAAGGCUAACAAGGUAGGAGAAGGUGGUAGUAGACAAGGGAAAGAGCAAAUUGAAUAGGUGGAAUCGGAGUUGGGAGCCUUGAUUUUGCUAGUUAGCUAUCGGAUUCGGGAUCAUUGAAGUCGAAGUCAUCCACACUAUCAAAGCCCCCAUUUUGGUACAAUUUUGGUUGAAAUUUGAAAUGGCAUGUAUAGGACUACCCUUUUGUUGUAGGUUAUGUACCUUUCGGUUUUGUGUAAAUUCGGAUAGCCAUGCGAAAAUGGCUUAUAUACGUUUCUAGCAUAGUACUAUAAUCGUUUGUAUGUUGAUCAUUAUGAGGUAUGGAAUUGUUUUGAAACGAUUAGCCAUUGGAAUGGUUAAUCAUGAUCA